GAGGCCUAAAUUGGCUGGGAUCUAGCUACAUGGGAGUUCACCUCCCUCUUCUUGCCACACUGAACAGUUACAAACAAUGGAAGCGAUCAGCUGAAUUUAAAAGGCAGGGGACUUGUGGCAGAGAAACCUCAGAUGCAGCACAAGCUUGCCCCCUGCUUUGAAAUAGCCCAUGUGUUGUUGAUGUAAUGGGCAUGCUACAAGGCACUUCUGUUUCCACUGGUUGCUGAAUUUAGAAAGCCCAGGAGCUAGCUUCAUCACACAUCUCUGCCAAUAUACGUUAGUGCUGAGCUGGAAUGCCCCUCUUAUUCUGCUAAUGGGCCCCUCCUGAGCUGAGACCACACAUCACACUGAACUGAGUAAUUAUUCUUCUGAUGUACCCAAAUGUUCACUGAAAUGAGAUGGAGAUGGCUGAGCUCAUUUCACUUGUGAUCUAAACCAUGUUUGAACUCAGAUCUACGGAGGUGAAAAAAAGGAAUCCAGUCUUGACCUGAAGCUAUCAAGAGAUGGGGAAUGCAGCACUUCUCAUGGAAAUUGGAGUAGUGAGUUCUGUACACAGAGCAAGUCUACAGGAAUGAGCGUCAAGAGACUGCGGUAACAAGUCUAAGAUAUGGAGGGAAAAAAAAUAGUGAAUGCAGUUCUGGCCUUUCUGUUACAAUGUGAAGAAAAGACAGAAUGUUGCAUGUAAGCCCAUGGUGAUGAUACUACAUUAUGUGGUGAGGCGAAUGUUGUCAAUGGAAGUCUAUAGAAAAUGACCCUGCAACAUAAAGAAAAAGGAAAUCACUGUCAGUGCAAGUCUAUAGAAAUGACUAUGAUCUGAGAAAAGGCAAAACAGUGUCAAUGCAGCUGUGAUUGGUUUUGCAAUGUAAGGAA